GCACCGGUGGUGUAUGGUACACGCGCCGUCCCUGUGUUCAGUUAUCAUCUGCAUACAUUUAUGGGCGAUACGGGGUUCGAUUCCCCGCCGGUGCC